GAUGAACGCUAGCGGCAGGCUUAAUACAUGCAAGUCGAGGGGUAGCAAGAUUGUAGCAAUACAAUUGUUGACGACCGGCAAACGGGUGCGGAACACGUACACAACCUUCCUACAAGUGGGGAAUAGCCCAGAGAAAUUUGGAUUAAUACCCCGUAACAUAGCGAUGUGGCAUCACAUUGCUAUUAUAGCUUCGGCGCUUGUUGAUGGGUGUGCGGCUGAUUAGAUAGUUGGCGGGGUAACGGCCCACCAAGUCUACGAUCAGUAGCUGAUGUGAGGGCAUGAUCAGCCACACGGGCACUGAGACACGGGCCCGACUCCUACGGGAGGCAGCAGUAAGGAAUAUUGGACAAUGGACGCAAGUCUGAUCCAGCCAUGCCGCGUGAAGGAUUAAGGUCCUCUGGAUUGUAAACUUCUUUUAUAAGGGACGAAAAAAGGUCUUUCUAGAUCGUCUGACGGUACCUUAUGAAUAAGCACCGGCUAACUUCGUGCCAGCAGCCGCGUAAAAC
rnacentral:rRNA from 1 species